AAUGAACGCUGCGGCGUGCCUAACACAUGCAAGUCGAACGAGAAAGCCCGCAAGGGUGAGUACAGUGGCGCACGGGUGAGUAAUACAUAGGAAUCUGCCUCUGAGUGAAGAAUACCCUAGAGAAAUUUAGGUUAAUACUGCAUAAGCCCAGAAAUGGGGAAAGGUGGCCUCAAGCUACCGCUGAGAGAUGAGCCUAUGGCCUAUUAGCUAGUUGGUAGGGUAAAAGCCUACCAAGGCGAGGAUGGGUAGCCGGCCUGAGAGGGUGUACGGCCACACUGGAACUGAGACACGGUCCAGACUCCUACGGGAGGCAGCAGUGGGGAAUCUUGCACAAUGGGCGAAAGCCUGAUCCAGCCAUGCCGCGUGAGUGAUGAAGGCCUUCGGGUUGUAAAGCUCUUUCGCACGCGACGAUGAUGACGGUAGCGUGAGAAGAAGCCCCGGCUAACUUCGUGCCAGCCGCCGCGGUAA
rnacentral:rRNA from 1 species